AAGGAAACAGACAACUGAAUUUUGGAUUGGUAAAAUCUAAUGGCCUUUAAAAGAAGAUGUGACAUUUAAAAAAAAGGAAGACAUGACACGCCUGCUGGAAUGAGGCCUGCAGAGGUCUCAUUGUGUAAAUGUUGACGUGGUGCAGCAGAAAUACAAAUAACACCGGAUCUCCAGCAGAAACAUCUUACUGUUUGCAGAAGCUCAGAGGAUUAAAGCCAACAGUGAUGGACGUGGACUCAUCUUCUAGGCAGAGCUGCUCAGGUAAACGCUGGCCUCCGCGACAGACGGGUGCUCUCCAUCUUGCAGCCCCACAAGGGGUUGUUGCAAGACAAAUGGCUGUAGGAAGAAGCCCCGCCCAUUUCCAGCUGCCUCGUCUCGUGUGGCGUCUCGGCUCGGUUAUGCGGUGGGAUUCGUGCGGUACGCCGAGUCCCAGUCCACUGCACGCGAACGGCGCGCCAUCACUAACCACAAACAACCCGGAGACUCCGCAGCUGAAGUAGACAAGUUUAUUAAUGAUAAUAAUGAGGAUGAUGAGGAUGAUAAUAUUAAUAAUUAGUCAUAAUUAUAAUAACGUUAAUGUCAUAAUAAAUAGAACUCUUCAUCUGAAGCACGUAAAGAGAAGCAUACAGAAAGAGAAAAAACAAAAACACAAAGUUCAGAGUACAGAGCCAGAGGAGGGGGCAGGGACUUCUAGAGACAUUUUUUAACCUUUCAAUAUAUCCAUUUAAUUUUUUAACAUUUUUAAACAUUAUUUAACUGGAACAUUUACAAAAAGGAGAAAGAGAUAGAAUUUAAAAAAUCCCUUAUAAAUAAAUUUUGUCAUCAUUAGAACAAAAUACAAGAUUUGGGGAGUCAGAGGAUGGUCUUUUUUUUCUUUUUGACGUAUUUUUUUGUUCUUUUCCCCCUGAAAGGACAGCUGAAGGAAGUAAGAGACCAGUUGGGGUGAAGGUUAUUAUGUACAGAACACCAGGAAUACAAAAGGGGCCAGUCGACUCACAUACUGGAAGGCUGGGAUGGGGGGUAGCUAUACGGGGUCCGAUGGAAGCGAGGGGCAUCCUGCGAGUGUCACAGCUCAAGCAGUUGUGCUCAGGAAGAUCAGGACCAGUUUUUUAAAACAUAAAGGCAUCUGAAGGAAGGAAGGGAGGGUCGCCGUACGCCCAACCCCCCUCACUCCAUCCCACCGCUACGCUACGGCGCAGGCUGGAGUUUUAGCUCGGCCUUUUUUUGUUUUUCACUGCGUUGGCCAGCGAGCAGAGACAAACAACCACAGCGGGAACAAAACGGCCCUAAAGGUUAAAAACAGGAUGGAUACCUCACCACUGCUGCUCCAACACUAACAUCUAACUACUUCCAUUAAAACAUUUAAAAUCUAUUUAGUAUUUCUCAUAUCAACUGGAUAAAAAUUCUAAGGCAAUAAAAUUUAUCUUUUAUACAUUUUUUUUUUCUUGGUUUUCAACUGCAGCUCGCAUGAGGCUGUGGCAGCUACACACUGUCAACCAGCUCAUGGGAGCCGUAGCAGGUAAAUGGAAAAAAUAUAACAAAAUACCUUCAUGCAUUAAGAGCUGUAGUAACCUGUAAGCAGGAUGGGACUCUCCAUCACAUCUCUAAAAGGAGUUUUAUUUGCUUUUUUAUUUUUUACAAAACCUGCACUUUAAAGUUAGCUGCAAAGCUGCAUAUACGUCUGAAACGAGUGCUGUGGUAGGAGUGUCAUUGGUUCAGUGUUUUCUCUUUGUUUUCGCUGUGAACUGUGGAUCAGAAUGAGCUGUAGGUAAACAUCAGGAGAAUACGCAGAAUGGCAACAUUGCACACAGCCCCUAUUUUCUAUUCCUACGUCUACAACAGUUAAUACGAGAAACAAAUCAAGAUCGGUUCAUUUGUUUUGCACAAGUUACUGCAAAUGUUGCUAUUCUCAGACCUCAAACUUUUUUUUUUUGGUUUGCAUAAACUAAAGAAGAGGCAGCUUGAUCUCUGACAUGCUUUUUUUUUUGCAUCACUGUUCCAAAGUAAUGCUACGUCCUUUGAUUUGAAACAAAAUAAAUAAAAACACGUUUAAAAAGGUCAAACCCAAACAGAUACACAGAGCUUCAUAGUUCCCCCUAAAGAAAAACACAUCAACGCCGCUGCAGGAAGUGAAAUGUCCACAUCUGCUGCCACAAAAACUCACAACAGCACCUUUUGUGAAUUCAUCCGCUGCUGAAAAUAGUCCCCAAGGAAAUGCACUUGAGCUCACUUACUAUUUGAGUAACAUUUGCUAAAAACUACACUUUUUUGUUUAGUUUUUUUUUAGUUUGUAAAAACAGUAUAACUAAGUCAGAGAUACUGAGACACACACAUUUUUUUCACUUUUUCUCAAGAUUUGUUGACAAAACUAAAACACGCAAUAAUACCAGCGUCAUCCCGUCAGAUUUGAUCUGCUAGUAGCUAACUAGAAUAAGUACACAACAGUGUUCUCUCAGAAAAUGUGCCCAUCACACAUGACAUCAAGUGUUUUUGUUGCAGUAUGCAUAGAUAAUUCAGUGGACGAACUCCAACUAUGUAACAAAAAGGAGGAGGAAACAAACUGUGGCUCUUUAUCUCUGGCUCCCUGGAAGCUCCCGGCAAACUAAAACUCCAACCUGCUCCUGAGUUUCCUGACCCACCUCCAGUCUGCGGAGCUGAAAGUAGGCCAGAACAAUCAGUUGACUCUCAGAAACAAACCAACAGGUAUGAAGAUGCUAAAUCUGCAGAUGAAAACUGUAUGGGAGAACAAAUGACCGACUUUACCCCAAUUAGACUUCACAACAGUUAGUUGCCAUGAUAUAGAUACUCUGUAAUAUAUGGGAGGCUGUCUACAGAUGAGCAGAGGUCGCGUGGGUAGGAGCCCUGAUUCAGAACAAGUCUUUUUUUGUUGUUAUUUUUAACCUGAAAGAAGAUGAAGUUAAUCAAGAAGUGUGAGGUGAGAUUUACUGUACAGAAUAUUAACAGUACACUGUGUAGUUUUGUACAGGAAGUCAGAAGCUUAAUCUUUUCUUUCCCUCUUCACAAACCACCACUAACCAAGUAGCAUACCCUGAACUCUCAAACUAAGUUGUGCUUCACCCAAACCUGCUCACCUCUGAUUUAAAAA